GGUUUCAAAGCCAUAUAUGAGUAAUUAACUUCAAAAAAAAGUUAACUCAUCUUCAGCAACUCAUCUUCAUACCCUCAACUUUUACAGAUUUUGUUGAAAUGGGUAGUGUAUGAUCAAUCUGUAAUGACUGUCUCUAAGUUCUUUUACUUAUUAAGGUGAUGAGGAUAACUGGUUUGCUCACUUUAUGAAUACAAGGCUGUUACUAUGACCAAAGUCAUGGAACCAGUCCAGGCUACCAGGAUGAGCUCCACCAGAGCAGGGAUUGGUACCUUCUUCUUUCUUGUAUCCCCAGCACUUAGUAAAGAACUGGAUAUAAAGUAGGAGCUCAAUAAAUAUUAACCUAUGUAUUCUCUAAUAUGCUUUUCUUGUGCAUGCCUGUAGUCUGCAUGUCUAAUACUGGCUGGCAUUUUCUCCCUAGUGGGAUAAAGCUAGAGUUGAGAAAUUGGUGGGUAGCACAAAUUUCAUUUGUAAAUGACACAUUUUCAUUAUACUUUUGGGGCAAUGUAUAUAUUAUAUGUUGUCUCAUAAUAGUAGGAACCCAUUGUGGGUUGAAAUGUGUUCUCCCCUCAAAAAAAAAAAAAAUUGUCUUGCAGUCCUACUCCCAUCCCCCAUCUGUGAAUGUGAACUUAGAUAUGUACAGUAAUGAAGUUAAGAUGAGGUGGAUUAUUAGGGUAGAUUCCAAAUCCAGUGACUAGUGUCCUGAUAAGAAGGAGAGGUUUGAAGGUAGAAGACACACAGGGAAGAUGGCCAUGUGACUAAGAAAGAGAAUGGAGGUUCUGAAUGGUUACUCAAACAUGAAGAUCUUUAAUUCUGUAAAAGUUAACAGUAAAUGAGUGAAAAAUGUUAAGAUAUCUCUAGUAUCUUAAAAGAACAACUCUAUGACCCAUAGCUAGAGGAUAAUCAUGAAUAAGUGGUUGAGAGUCAAAUGAAGAUACAUUAUUUUAAAGAUGGUAAUCAGUACAUCUUAUUUGCCAUGAAAUAUUGUAGAAAUAAAGAUGAGUAGAAUUAAAAUGUAUAAAUAAAUCUGUUCUUGCAAAGUUAAAAAGAAAAAUGUACUUUUAGUACUUGUUGAAACAAGAUGAAAUGCAAGCUAUCUUUUCCAUAUCUAAAUUGUUUCUGAUUAUCCACUUAAAUUCAGUACAGUUAAUUUCUAACAGAGAAAGAUCAUGGAGUCAUUGCUAAGGCAUUGGCUUCUGUAAACAACCUUCUACCUUCACAUAAGUUGGUUGUCUGGUUUAUUCUUUUUUGAGGUUCCUGUUUGUCUACCCUCUAAAACCACAGGUAUAAGGAAGUAAAAACGUAUUCUUUCUGGUCCCAGCCUGCGUAAGUGUCUUAGGGCUUAGAAAUACAAGGGCCUCUAAACUUCAAGGUGGAUAAACCUUUAAUUAACCUGACAAUUUUGCUGAGCUGCUGGAGGUCUCCAACCCACCAAGACUUAAUGUCUUUUUAAAGAAUAAUAAUGGCCGUUUUUUGUGACAGCAACUGUGCUCAGCAUUUUACAUAUAUUAUAUAUUUGAUCCAAAGAGGGUGAUAACUAUUUCUCAGAUUAGGAAAUUGAGGCUCAGAGAAACAAGUAACUUUCCCAAAGCUAUAUUUAAUAAGUAGAAGGCAGCCGCUUCCUGAAUGGACUCAUUUAAUUUCCACUACAAUAUUCUGAAAUAAGUUAAAUAAUUUCAAAAUUUUCAAGUGGGGAAACUAUGGCUCAGAAAUGUUGAGAAGUGGUUCUGCAUUUAGAAUUUAAAUUGAUUGAUAUACACUUAGGCUUAGUGCUUUAAGAUAUAAGUUCUAAAUCAAAUAGCUCUGGUUGGUUUGUUAUAUGCACACCCCAAAGAGCAAAUGGUCAUGCUCAGAUAAUAGCAGCUGAAAUUUCUUCAGCACUUAAGUCAUAAGCACUAUUCUGAAUGAUUUAUAUAUUUAUUAGUCCAUUUAAUACAACAUCCCUAUAAAAUAAUAUUAUCCCUACCAAAUAAACAGAAAAGGGGAAGUUAAAUAAUUUUCCCAAGUUUAAGCAGUUAGGCAGUAGCAGAGUCAGGAUUCACACCUAGUGAGCAUGACUUGAGCGCAUACGUUCUUACCCACUAUCUGUUACUGGUCUCUUAGUUUCAUUUUCCACCCAAACCCUGUACCUUCCUGACACUGGGCUUCUGCCCUACAUGAGAUCCCUCCCCAACUACUAUGGAAACCCUUCUGGACUUUGAAGGCCCAAAGUUUCACCUCAAAAUGUCUUUUAGAACCCAUACACUCAUACACACCAUCUCUGUCUUUUUUCUGAACACAUAUUUAUGAUCUUAAAACCACAUAUUCCUUUUAUCUUUUAAGAGCAGAUGGACUGACUUCCAAUUCUUUUGUCUUUCCUUAUUGAAUAGCACUAUCCUAGGCACAAAGAUUCAAGUGAUUAUUGAAGAUCCAAGGCUGUCACUAUUCUCUAGAACUGCUCUGGCCAAUACAGUAGCUAUAGUCAUCUGUGGUUAUUGAGUGCUUGAAAUGUGACUAGUGAAACUGAGAAACUGAAUUGUUAAUUUUAAUCAAUUUAAAUAUAAAUUUUCAGCUGGGCAUGGUAGCUCAUGGCUGUAAUUCUGGCACUUUAGGAGGCCCAGGUGGGAGGCUUGCUUGAGGUCAGGAAUUCGAGACCAUCCCGGGCAACAUAGGGAGACCACUGUCUCUAUAAAAAAGUUAAAAAGUUAGCCAGGCACGAUGGCAUGAACCUGUAGUCCUAGUUACUUAGGAGGCUGAAGCAGGAGGAUCACUUGAGCCCAGGAGUUUAAGAAUGCAGUGAGCUAUGAUUGUGCCACUGUACUCCAACCUAGGCAACACUGCAAGAUCCUGUUACUAAAAACAAACAAACAAAUAAAUUUUUGAUAAUUGAACUCGUUUUUAAAACUAAGUAUGUUUGGAACAACUGAGUAUAUGAAUCUAAUUUUUUUUACACUUGAUCUUAGCCAAAAGGCCAAGAAGUGAAUCUAAUUUUUUAACUGCCGAUUUUAGGAAAUCUAAAUACAGAUCAGGUUUUCUUUCUUUAUUAUUUUUUUUUUUUUCAAAUUUUUAAAGUUCUUUAAAGAGACAGAGUCUUGCUCUGUUUCUCAGGCUGGAGUACAGUGGUGUGAUCCUAACUCAAGCAACCCUCCUGCCUUGGCCCCCCAAAGUGUUGGGAUUACAGGCAUGAGCCACCAUGCCUAGCUCCACGUCAGGUAUUUCUAAUGAGAAUUGAACCUACAAAUUGAAAUGUAAGUAUAAAAUAUACAGCAGAUUUCAAAGACAGUGGGAAAAAAUGUACAAUAUCUCUAUUGAUACUUUAAAAAUAUUGAUCACAUGUUGAAAUGGUAGUACUUUAGAUAUGCUGGGUUUAUUUUUAAUUUUUCAAAAUGUGGCUAAUAGAAAAUUUAAAGUUAUAUAUGUAGCUUACAUAAUAUUUCUAUUUGCUGUAGGAUUCAGUGGCUUACCCAGCACUUCAGAAGACAUUUGAAAAUCAGUCAUGUUCCUCAACCAAGUGAUGCCUUUUAGCGGUGCAAAUUCUGUGCUUAGGAAACUUGCUGCUUGCCCUAAUCUUUUCUUUUUUUGUUUUAAAAUGUGUCAUGUGGCAUUUAAUUGUCCUCAUCUUAUCAAGGGUUCAGUGCACCCUAAUGAGACUUGAAUGCAUCACAAAAUGAUUGUUUCAGAAAGAUUGCUUCAACAACAGAAGAUAGAGAUGGGAAGAGAAUGGUGGGGGACGUGGUAGCAAAGAAGCUAUUCCAAUGAUCCAACCUCAAGAUCAUGCAAAUGUGAACUAAAGCAAUGGCAUCAGGAUGGAGCAGAGAAGAUGGACUGGAGAGAGUUUUAGGAGAUGGAGGAAGGUAGCCUGGGCCCAACUGAACUCACUGUGUAUUCAGAAAAUAACCCACAGUUGGGAAAUUCACAGUGCCAUUGCUUUGAAUCAAAUCCUUACUUCAUACCAGGAUGUACCAUGAUUCUUGGAAACAUGACUGGGUAUUGAUGUCUUGUCUAGCCAAUGAAAUCCACAUAGCAAAGAUGUUAUGAAGACAUGGAAACAUGAAUAUGAAAUAAAAUCAGUAUAGCUAUUUGGAUGAUUAGCUAUCGACACAAGACAGUCCCUGGUUAUUGCUUUUAAUAGUAAGGUAGCACUAGGCCAUGAAAGGUGCCUCAGUGUACCUGCCUCAUUUGUGGCUCCCUUUUGGCCAUGUGACCCUAACUCCCCUGGUCACAAGUGGCUGAACCAGCAAUCAAUACCUGACCUGAAGGCAACCCUCUAUAGGCUGGCAAGCGGCCUACAAAGUUGCUCAGUGCUAGAGAAUUGAGCCCAACAGAAGUACAUUCUAAUGUUUAGUGAUUGGCCAAUCAUAUUCUUUGUGAUGGUGCUGAUGGGAGGGUAGUGAUGUGCAUCAGACAUGCAGAGUUAGUAGCAGCUGGAGCAGACACAGAAGCCUCCCUAACAACGGGCAAUGGAGAAAGGAACAACAGACAGUUCUGAAAGAAUACCAAGUGCUCCUAAGCCAAAAGCUAUAGUUAGGCUGCUGGAGGUACUGCCAGUCCUAAAUGAUGGCGAUGAUGGUCCAUUUUUCUGUGAAACUUGACUGUAUACCUGUUAAGAUUUUUUUGUGUUCUUUUUAAGGCUCCAUGAAUGAAUCUUUCCAAUAAACAAAUUUGUAACAAAGGCAA